rnacentral:rRNA from 1 species
AGGAUGAACGCUGGCGGCGUGCCUAACACAUGCAAGUCGAACGUCCUGUCUCGCAAGAGGCAGGGAGUGGCGGACGGGUGAGUACCACGUGGGUCAUCUACCGUGAGGUGAGGAAUACCGGCGAGAAAUCGCCGACAAGACCGCAUAGGCUCGAUGCAAGUCGAGCAAAGCUCUUUCGAGAGAGGGAGCGCCACACGAGGAGCCUGCGCCCGAUUAGCUAGCUGGUGGAGUAACGGUUCACCAGGGCGACGAUCGGUAGCUGGUCUGAGAGGACGAUCAGCCACACUGGGAUUGAGAACGGCCCAGACUCCUACGGGGGCAGCAGUGAGGAAUUUUCGUCAAUGGGGGCAACCCUGAACGAGCAACGCCGCGUGCAGGAAGAAGGUUUCGGAUCGUAAACUGCUUUUCUCGGGGAAGAGAAUGGACGGUACCCGAGGAAUCGAGCCCCGGCUAACGUACGCGCCAGCAGCCGCGGU